CAGACAUCCCACGGGGGCGAGUUGCGGUGAGUGUCCAGGUUUGCCCAGGGCGGCUGCACCAUCCGUGCUGGAGGUUAUCUGGGAAACAGCCCCUGUGCUUGCAGUCGUGUUUGCUAGGAAGCAGGAGUGCUGACACUUGGGAACUGGCCCCUCCCCUUCUUCCAGCCCAGCCCAGGAGGCAGGUCCAAAAGAAGAAGAGGUGGGAAAAGGCUAAAACCCCUCCGUCAGCAGAGGAGGAGAAAGUGGAAGCCCACCUGGAGAGUCUGCACCAGGGCUGAGUCUGCACGGCUACGUCCUUAGCCUGGGACAGCCGAGCGGCCAUGGCAUCUGGAGGUGGUAGGCAUCCCAGUCCCAGAGCUCAGGGGCUGGAACGAGUGUCCCCCGACUUCACGGGGAUAGCAAAGACCAGGAUGAGAGCCUCCCUCCGGGUGCCUCUCGGCAGCCCAGAGCCUGAGGCCUUUGCAAGGAACCCUCUGGCACUUGGUUUGCAUCUGCUGCCCACACUGAUGUGUUUCUGCCCUGGAAAUCCUUGGGCUCAUCAUCCCAGCACUCCAUGAAUGAAGCAGCAUGGUAGAAAGGUUAAAAUUAAAAGGUAGCACUGCAGGAAAUCAAAACACAGCCUGCGUCAUUAGCUGGGACAUUUUGAUUAAGGGAUGAGCACGGAGAAGAUUAUUACCUCCACAAAGGAUGCCGGUGGACCUCGGCAAGUGCAGAACCCUUGUGAAAGCAAGUACAACUCCUCGCUCCUUCAUCCGCUUCUCUUGCCUCCUCCUGCAUUGAGGACCACAUGAGGGAAGCUCCUUCUCCACCCUUUGCUCCAGGAUGAGGCCUUGCCUCAAUGGCCAUCUCAGCUGGUACCCUCUCUGCCAUGCUGUUGGGCUUGCAGCUCCUUCUUAUGGGACAUUGCAAGGGGAAGAGCGCUUGGCUUGGAGAGACGUGAGGGACUGGCUGAGGUGGCCCCUGCACUACAGGGACUCUCCCAAGCGGUCACUGAGCCAGCUGUUGAUCUAGGCUGAUCAGAGUGGAGGCAAAAGAGGGGCCUUCACAUCUCGCAGAGGAAGGGGAGUGUGGGACACAUUGCCUCGAGGCCCUUUCCAACACUAUUCCUGGGCACUGUGGAAGGCAGCUCCAGAGCCAGUGACCUGCCUGGCUUUGUCUCUCCCUAGAAAUGCCCUCCUGAGCAUGUCCUGAGGUUGGGGAGCCUGGUCACUGGUGUCCUCAAGGGAGCAGCCUGGGGACUGCAGCAGGCCAGGGGGAGGAUCACGGUGUCCUCCUGGGGACGGAUGUUCCUCCUGCUCUGCAUGGAGCUGUGCUGGGAGGCAGCUCGGCAGAAGAUGACCUUGAAGGCUGGCACAGUUGCUGUGCAGAGGGAGAGGGAAGCAGGAGAGAGGGACGGCAGGAAGGGAGGCUGGGGCUGCUGCCCGAGGGUCCCAAGGGUGGCCAGAAGCUUUCCAAAUGACUGCUUUUACCCACAGAGGGGUUGGAGAGGAUCUUCCCCCUGUGGAAGGGCACCUGUGGAACAGCUGCAGGAAGGUGAUGGGCCCACUGAAACGCCUCUGCCCAAGGCCUCCCUCCGGGAUUGGUUUGGCGGCAGAGACAUGACCCACUCUCUGACCCUGCACAUCUUCAAACUCCUCACAAGCAAAGCCCAAGAGGGGAGGCAGGAAAAGCUCCUGAGAGGGGAGGCAACUAGUUCAACACAGACACGUCAACUGAAAUGCUGGUAUGCUGAUACAAAGUCUCCUUUUCCUCUCAGCUGCUAUUAGGGUUUGGGUUUUUUGUUUUGUUUUGUUUUGUUUUGUAGAGAAUGUAUUUACCGGCAAAUAAACUUGGGAGCAACUUUAUGAAUUCAAGGUCAGUCCUCUGUGCAGAGCUCAGCAUUUUCAGCCUGCAGGAAGCUGGACUGGGAGGAGACAUAGAGUCCUCCUCUGCUGCGGCAUUGAUGCUUGCAGAGGAGCUGGGGGGGCUGGUUCCAGACCCCCAUGUCUCCCUGCAGGAGGUCACAAAGACCACCAGGGAGGUUGUCAUGCAUUCUUUGUUUCUACCAGAGGGGUAGAUGAGACACCUGCUGAUGUGAGUCUCGAGACAAAAGACACCUGGUUGCUGCUGGGGAGGAUGAAUGUGCCUGCGGAUCUUAACAGUGGUCAAGAUGGACAAAUCGCGAAUAUGUAAAUGCAAUGGCUCGUGUCUGUGCAGCUUGUACCUUACCAGACAGCAGAGCGCUCCGUGCAUGCUUACAUCCCUGACAAUAACACUGCACCUUCACGUAGAGUGCCAUGGGAACAUUUAAGACCCUGCCUGCAUAAACUGAUGUCUGAAAUGGACAGGAAACGUUAUGUCACGGAGAGCAGAGUUACCUCAAGCCUGAGCACAUCAAACUACCACACAGAAUACAGCUGUGAGAGCACAGCCCCGUUUCCCAUGCCCACCUUCAGCAUUUGCUGUGAAGGGGAAAUUAAAAUGGUAAGUGCUCAGCAAUGGUAAUUUGUGACCAAGAAAUGCUCUCUCAUGGAGGUCAAGAAGGCCCAACUUCGUAAGAGGUUAAAGUGGCUGGCAGCAGGAAAGCCGGAGACAAAAGGACUCCCUGUAAGGGGGUGCAGUUUCCCUUGGUGAUGAGAUAAGAAAGAGCUGCAGCACUGCCUUGUAGCAAUCCUGGAGUGUGAUGCUCAGUGGCCACCUUUGGGCAGCAGAGCUGGUGCUGGAGGAUAGACCCAAUGUCAGGCUGAGGCAUCCCAUGGAACUGCUCACAGGGCUGCUGCUGCUGCCCGUGUACGUAAGGAAUUGGCUCCUGACACACCUUUGCACACUCCUUGUAG